GGGCCCGCACAAGCGGUGGAGCAUGUGGUUUAAUUCGAUGCAACGCGAAGAACCUUACCAGGGCUUGACAUACUACAGAUCUUUUUGAGAAAGAAGAGUGCCUUCGGGAAUGUAGAUACAGGUGGUGCAUGGCUGUCGUCAGCUCGUGUCGUGAGAUGUUGGGUUAAGUCCCGCAACGAGCGCAACCCUUAUUUUUAGUUACCAACUUGUUGGGUUCUCUAGAAAGACUGCCGGUGACAAACCGGAGGAAGGUGAGGAUGACGUCAAGUCAGCAUGCCCCUUAUGUCCUGGGCUACACACGUGCUACAAUGGCUAAGACAAAGAGUUGCGAGUUCGUGAGAACCAGCUAAUCUCGUAAACUUAGCCUAAGUUCAGAUUGUAGGCUGCAACUCGCCUACAUGAAGUUGGAAUC
rnacentral:rRNA from 1 species